CAUCUCUACAGAACCAGAAGAUCGCCUCUUUAAGCUUGUGGUCUGGGAUCCAGGACAAUGAAGACAUUGUGAAGCCAGGAUGAACCCUGUAGCAUUGAAUUUCUUCUCACCUCUAAGUCUGAACACCGAGCCUUCAGAUGAAAGCCUUUGGCUGCACUUCCUGAAAGGAUCUAAAGCAGAAAAAACAGCUAGGCCGUGCCUGGAUUCCCGACUCAGCAAAACAUUGAGAUAAUAAAUGAAGAACCUGGAAUCUAACCAGAAGUAGAGGUGAACAAUCCAGAACUCCGUAAUGUUUAGUUGAUGAGCCACUUUUGGAUACAGGCUACCCAUUAAAUUUUGGCGUAGCCAGCCAGGAGAAAAGCUCAGGUGCCAGAGACAAAGAUAAGAAGAGAUGUUACAUUGGAAAUGGUCAGUUGUUUUCACAGAAGCAGGACUAGCAGCAAACACCCAAAAGGUCUGUAAAACUUGCCCGCUCUGUGCCUACAAUAACCCUGGCAAGCCCAAACUGUCUCAUUUAUUAAAACCUGUACAGAGAAGAGGGACAUAUCCUGGAGAGGCCUGGCAAUUAGACUUUACCAUAUGCCAUCAUGUGGAAAAUGUAAACAGAUGUUAGUUCUAAUUGGCAUAUUUACAGGCUAGAUGGAAGCCUAACCUACCUGUUCAGAAAAGGUUACAGAGGUAGUCAAGGUGCUUCCUAAAGAAAUCAUCCCCAGAUUUAAACUACCCCAGUCCCUACAGAGACACCAUGGACUUUAUUUUACUAUCCAAAUAAUUCAGGUGGUGGCAUAGGCUUUAAGAAUAAAGCACCACCUCCAUUCUUCCUGUUGGACUUAAUCUUCUGGAAACAUAGAGCCACCAGACCCUAAAGUGAGCUCUGGCAAAACUUUGCCAAGAGACUUCUGAGUCCUUGCUCCAAGUUCUGCCAAUAGCACUCAGGAGGAUUUGUAACAUGCCCAAAAGUGGACUAACUUUGAGCCUAUUUGAAAUGUUACAUAGGAGGCCAUUUUUAUCCUCCGAUAUGCUAGAACACCCAGAAACUAUAAGAUUCUAACAAUGUUUCAUAAAUCUGGACCACAUGCAACAGGCUAUCCAAAUGUAUGGGAACAAAGUUCUGCCUGCUCCUGGACUAGGAGGACCACUUACUGUCCAUCCUGGAGACCAAGUGCUUCUAAAACCUUUGAAAGAGUCUUCGACACAGCACCACAGAGGAGCCCAGCUGCCACUGACCACUUGUGUGACUGUAGGCCUGCCCCUUCAACUUGGUGCCACAGAGGAGCCCCACAGCACAGACACCAAUACAGUGAUGUUUGGACCCCUCACCCAGGCAAACAAGAGAAAGAAAGCUUCUCCAAAGCUCCUAGAUGAAAGUUGAAGCCCACUGGAA